UAAGGAGGCAUCCAAAGGGAUCGCAUUGAUCCCGGCCAUCUCUUCUUCUUCUUCUUCUUCUUCUUGUUUUUGUUGGCCGGGAAACUUGCUGAUUUAAAUUUGAAUGAUGAUGAGAUUAUGAGGAUCAUGCAAUCCCUUUGGAAGCCUCCUC
rfam:Macleaya cordata isolate BLH2017 scaffold1835, whole genome shotgun sequence.